CCGACCUGGCUCACACCGGUUUAAACUCAGAUCAUGUAAAAUUUCAAAGGUCGAACAGACCUAAUUUAUUAGCUUCUACACCAAUAAUUAAUUUUAAUCCAACAUCGAGGUCGCAAUCUAUUUAUUCGAUAAGAACUCUAUAAAAAAUUACGCUGUUAUCCCUAAGGUAAUUUAAUCUUAUAAUCUAAAUAUUAGGAUCAUAAACAUACAAAUAAAUAAUUCUAUACAAGAAAAGUUAAAUAAAUUUUCCUAUCACCCCAACAAAAUAAAUAUACUAAAAAUUAGUAUAAUUACUCCCUAAAAACCAAACUUCAGUAUAUUCAUCAAACUCUAUAGGGUCUUCUCGUCUUCCAUGUUAAUUUAAGCUUUUUUACUUAAAAAUAAAAUUAUAAUAAAUUUUUCCAGAGACAGUCAUUUUCUCAUCAAACCUUUCAUACAAGCUUCCAAUUAAAAAACUAUUGACUAUGCUACCUUUGCACGGUCAAUAUACCGCGGCCAUUCAACCACUUUCAGCGGGCAGGUCAGACUUGAAAUUAUUAUCAACAAGCCAUGUUUUUAAUA
rnacentral:rRNA from 1 species